CGGGGUGUAUCUCACCUGACUUCUAAUCAGGCGUUAACCGAGUAAUUGGAGUAUGCAGGUUCGAAUCCUGUCACCCCGGCCA
rnacentral:tRNA from 1 species